rnacentral:rRNA from 1 species
GCCAGACUCCUACGGGAGGCAGCAGUGGGGAAUAUUGCACAAUGGGGGGAACCCUGAUGCAGCGACGCCGCGUGGGCGAGGAAGUAUUUCGGUAUGUAAAGCCCUAUCGGCAGGGAAGAAGAAAUGACGGUACCUGAAUAAGAAGCACCGACUAAAUACGUGCCAGCAGCCGCGGUAAUACGUAUGGUGCAAGCGUUAUCCGGAUUUACUGGGCGUAAAGGGAGCGCAGGCGGCGCGCCAAGUCUGAUGUGAAACCCCGGGGCCCAACCCCGGGCAUGCAUUGGAAACUGGCGGGCUGGAGUGCCGGAGAGGUAAGCGGAAUUCCUAGUGUAGCGGUGAAAUGCAUAGAUAUCACGCAGAACUCCGAUUGCGAAGGCAGCGCACCGGCGCCCUACUGACGCUCAGGCACGAAAGCGUGGGUAUCGAACAGGAUUAGAUACCCUAGUA